rnacentral:rRNA from 1 species
GUGGGGAAUCUUGCGCAAUGGGCGAAAGCCUGACGCAGCCAUGUCGCGUGAAUGAUGAAGGUCUUAGGAUUGUAAAAUUCUUUCACCGGGGACGAUAAUGACGGUACCCGGAGAAGAAGCUCCGGCUAACUUCGUGCCAGCAGCCGCGGUAAUACGAAGGGGGCUAGCGUUGCUCGGAAUUACUGGGCGUAAAGGGCGCGUAGGCGGACAGCUUAGUCAGAGGUGAAAGCCCAGGGCUCAACCUUGGAAUUGCCUUUGAUACUGGCUGUCUUGAGUACGGGAGAGGUGAGUGGAACUCCGAGUGUAGAGGUGAAAUUCGUAGAUAUUCGGAAGAACACCAGUGGCGAAGGCGACUCACUGGCCCGUUACUGACGCUGAGGCGCGAAAGCGUGGGGAGCAAACAGGAUUAGAUACCCGAGUAGUCC